rnacentral:sRNA from 1 species
UUGCGGGCCGCGCCAAGCGGACGCGGCGGUGCUGGAGAACAUCGGGAUUUUUCCGCUUUCUCCCGGUGGCCAACGCAAUGGCAGGCCGAGCUCCCUACCCGCCCGGUUC